rfam:Ornithorhynchus anatinus chromosome X1, whole genome shotgun sequence.
CCCCUCUCAGGGUCGCACCUGGAGAGUUUCCAGUACUCUACCAAUCUCAACUAAGGGAGGGAGAGUUAAACAGAGGCCUAUCCAUUCCAUUCCUAGCUUGGACAGUGGCUAGCAAGUGGAAGGCAAUCUGCUACAAGU